rnacentral:sRNA from 1 species
UUUUUGCGUUAAGGAUUGAAGUGGCAUCCUUUUUAGUUGUCAGUUCGAGUAAAUUUGUGAAGAAUGAGCAAAUUUUUAUCGAGAACAAAACAAAAAAGAUAUAACGUAAAGCCUGUUAAAAC